rnacentral:lncRNA from 1 species
AUUUAUGAAAUAAACCAUACAAACAUAACUUCUCAAACGUAUGCACAAUAAAUAUUCAGAUUCCUUUUCCUCUUCUCUCUCUCUUUUACUGCUAUUCUCCAUUACUGAUGUUAGUAAAUUCUGAUGAGUUUUGAAAGGGGAAGGGGGUGGCAGCGGUGUGAGGGAUGGCGACGGAAAAGGAAAGGAAGGAAGACGUCGUCGACGAACAGAUCUAGAGUAGAUCUUGCCGGGUUUAAUGCUGAAAAAAGGGAGCGGGGUGCGAUAGCAGCAGCGGCAGUGGCAGCGUUAGGCUUCGCCGGCCAUGGUUGAUUCACCAGCGGCAACCAGAUCUGAUGAAAAGGCUGGUUCCGUCGAAAACAUCAUUGUAAAAAUACUAAAUAUUCUUAUUCUAUUCAUUUCUUCCAUUUUUAUUUCUUGACCUCUACAUUUUAUUUUGUAAACAUAAUUUUUAAUUCUGAUUCUAUUUAUUCAUUUUUUACUUUAUUUUCUAAUUUUUACACUAUGCAAUGGACUAAAAUAUCUACAAAAUUAUGAAUGCACGAGAAAUUAUGUAUAUGAAAAUUAACUGUGUAUGAAGGUGUACUUCAUGGUAAGUAUAUGCUUAUAUUUAUGAUGUGUAUGUAUCAGUACAAACAUGUCUAAGUAUGUCAUAUAUCGUUUUAAAUAUUUUGAUAAUUAGAUUUACAGUAUAAUUUAUAAUCACAUUAAUACCGAUAAUCAAACUCUUGCAUGUUGGAUGAUACAUGAAGCCAUUGAACGGUAAUUUAUGAAAUAACAUUAUAAGAAUGGAAAAGAACCUGUAUGGAUGAAUUGAACGAAAAUUGCAGCAGACAUGUUUUAACCAAAAACUUGAACACAAACUUGACUUCAACUUCACACUUUUCUCUCUUUUCUUUUUGAUUUUCCCUUCUUUCUAAUGUUCUGCUACUGUUUUUCUGGUUUCUGAUAGUGUAAAUACGUAGAGAGAGGAUUGACUGGGUGAAAAAAAUCCUUAAAUAAAGGAUUUUUUUAGGGGGGGAACAGAUAGGGGGAAUAGUUAUUUGCAGAUAAGGUUUGGGAUUUGAAUUUAAAUUUUAAAAUUUAUUAAUUAUUAUUUUUUAUAUUUUUUUAAUAAAAUAAAAUAAAAUAAUAAUAGUACUAGAUAAAGAUAAUAAUAAUAAUAAUAAUAAAUAAAUAAAUAAUAAUAAUAAUAAUGACGACGUUGUUUUAACACAAAAAACAAAACUUUAACAGUGCACAAAUAUAACCUUUAACUAUUCAAAACUGCACAAUAUUAUUUUUAAAAUUAGAAUAAAAUAAAAAUAAAUAUCAAAAUAUAUGAUUAAAUACAAAUAAAAAUAUUUAAUAUCAAUAGACAAAUUAAAAUUUAAGGAGGAUCAAAAAUCACGUGCCUACAUUUUUGCCCCUCUUUGUGUGAAAUCUAAAAGAGUUAUCAUACAAAGAAGUAGACAAGAUAUGAUUUUUGAUCCUCCAAUUAUUUGAAAGGUAAAAAUAAAACUAAAAUAAAAAGAAAAAUAUGACCGAGUCCUAUUUUUGGACAUCCUACCUAUCCCGGGUUAUAAGAGAAUCAGGUCACGAGUAGUUCAAAGGUAGUAUGGAGAGAGAAAAAGUAAAAUUCGAGUGAGAUUCUAUUGAGUUUUCGGUUGGCGACUUCUUCUUUUUACAUUCAGAUAACUAAAAAAAUAAUUUUAAAAAAAUGAAAAAUACAAGUAAAAAUUACAAUCUCUAGAAUCUUGAUUCAAGCCUUCGCGACUUGAAUUUGAAAAUUCACCCUAUUCUUCAGGCGAGUUUCUGGAUUUUCUUUUUUUCACCCUGUUCUUCAGGCGGGCUCCUGGACUUGCAAUUUCUUCACCCAGUUCUUCAGGCGGGCUCUUGGACUUCCAAUUUCUUCACCCUGUUCUUCAGGUGGGCUCCUGGACUUGCAAUUUCUUCACCCUUUUCUUUCAGGAGAGCUCCUGGACUUAUAAUUUCUUCACCCUGUUCUUCAGGCAGGCUCCUGGACUUCCAAUUUCUUCACCUUGUUCUUCAGGUGGGCUCCUGGACUUCCGAUUUCUCCA